ncrna:unclassified sequences DTF805b RNA
UAGGCAGAUUCCGAAAAGCCUUGUAGAGAGUAGGAA